rnacentral:rRNA from 1 species
UACGUAGGGUGCGAGCGUUAAUCGGAAUUACUGGGCGUAAAGCGUGCGCAGGCGGUUUUGUAAGUCAGAUGUGAAAUCCCCGGGCUUAACCUGGGAACUGCAUUUGUGACUGCACGGCUAGAGUGUGUCAGAAGGAGGUAGAAUUCCACGUGUAGCAGUGAAAUGCGUAGAUAUGUGGAGGAAUACCGAUGGGCGAAGGCAGCCUCCUGGGAUAACACUGACGCUCGAUGCACGAAAGCG